GACGAACGCUGGCGGCGUGCCUAAUACAUGCAAGCAGAACGCUGAAGGAGGAGCUUGCUCUUCUUGGAUGAGUUGCGAACGGGUGAGUAACGCGUAGGUAACCUGCCUGGUAGCGGGGGAUAACUAUUGGAAACGAUAGCUAAUACCGCAUAAUAGUAGAUGUUGCAUGACAUUUGCUUAAAAGGUGCAAUUGCAUCACUACCAGAUGGACCUGCGUUGUAUUAGCAAGUUGGUGAGGUAACGGCUCACCAAGGCAACGAUACAUAGCCGACCUGAGAGGGUGAUCGGCCACACUGGGACUGAGACACGGCCCAGACUCCUACGGGAGGCAGCAGUAGGGAAUCUUCGGCAAUGGACGGAAGUCUGACCGAGCAACGCCGCGUGAGUGAAGAAGGUUUUCGGAUCGUAAAGCUCUGUUGUAAGAGAAGAACGAGUGUGAGAGUGGAAAGUUCACACUGUGACGGUAUCUUACCAGAAAGG
rnacentral:rRNA from 1 species